UGUGGUCCAAUGGCUAGGAUACCACGCUCUCACUAUGGUGGCCAGAGUUUGAUUCCCUGCAGGGGAA